UCUCUUGCUCCAUCUUUCCACGUUGCUCUCUUUUUAAUCUCCCUCAUGCUCUCUCCCUCCUUUUCUCUGUCUCUCUCUCUCUGUUUGUCUCUGCCCCCCCCACAGCUCUCUCUCUCUCCAGGCUCUGCAACUCCACAGUCUUUCAAACUCUGCAGAUUUUUCAGCCAAACUUGUUUCUCCGUGACUCCCUCCACUCAGCUUUCCACACACGGAGCUGCAGGUGAGAUAAUGCAUCCCAAUCUGCUAGAUGGACCAGACUGGAAACGCUUUUACCAUGAAAACGUUAUUUUUCAUGCUACAACGUGUAAAGCGGAGGAGGAAAAAUAUUACGCAUCCCUCCAUCUCCAGAGGAGUGUAUUUGCUGAUGCCGGCAAACAUAAAUUACUGCACCUCAUUCGUGCUUGGCCACAUGCAGCCAGAGCAUUAAAGAACUAAUGCUAAAAAACUUAAUACCAUCUACAGUGAGACAAAACAGCCACAAGUACAGUCUUUC